rnacentral:rRNA from 1 species
UACGAAGGGGGCUAGCGUUGCUCGGAAUCACUGGGCGUAAAGGGUGCGUAGGCGGGUCUUUAAGUCAGGGGUGAAAUCCUGGAGCUCAACUCCAGAACUGCCUUUGAUACUGAGGAUCUUGAGUCCGGGAGAGGUGAGUGGAACUGCGAGUGUAGAGGUGAAAUUCGUAGAUAUUCGGAGGAACACCAGUGGCGAAGGCGGCUCACUGGUCCAUUACUGACGCUGAGGUGCGAAAGCGUGGGGAGCAAACAGG